CCUACGGGACGCUGCAGUGGGGAAUAUUGGACAAUGGGCGAAAGCCUGAUCCAGCCAUGCCGCGUGUGUGAAGAAGGCCUUCGGGUUGUAAAGCACUUUCAGUGGGGAAGAAAGCCUUGGGGCUAAUACCCUCGAGGAAGGACAUCACCCACAGAAGAAGCACCGGCUAACUCCGUGCCAGCAGCCGCGGUAAUACGGAGGGUGCGAGCGUUAAUCGGAAUUACUGGGCGUAAAGCGCGCGUAGGCGGUCUGAUAAGCCGGUUGUGAAAGCCCCGGGCUCAACCUGGGAACGGCAUCCGGAACUGUCAGGCUAGAGUGCAGGAGAGGAAGGUAGAAUUCCCGGUGUAGCGGUGAAAUGCGUAGAGAUCGGGAGGAAUACCAGUGGCGAAGGCGGCCUUCUGGACUGACACUGACGCUGAGGUGCGAAAGCGUGGGUAGCAAACAGGAUUAGAUACCCGAGUAGUC
rnacentral:rRNA from 1 species